CAUUUAAAGAGUGCGUAAUAGCUCACUGGUCGAGAGACCCUGCGCCGAAGAUUACCGGGGCUAAAGUACGAAACCGAAGCUGUGGCUACGACAUAUGUCGUGGGGUAGGGGAGCGUUCUGUGAGGGCUGAAGUCGUUCUGUAAGGAACGGUGGACUUCACAGAAGUGAGAAUGUUGGUAUGAGUAGCGAAAAGAAUGGUGAGAAUCCAUUCCACCGAAAGCAUAAGGAUUCCUGGGCAACGAUCGUCGUCCCAGGGUAAGUCGGGACCUAAUCCGAGGCAUGGAGCGUAGGAGAUGGACAACUGGCAGAUAUUCCAGUACCGGUAAUGAUUGUUUGAGCGAUGGAGUGACACAGGAGGGCAGGCAGGCAGGAGAUUGGUUGUUCCUGUACAAGCGUGUAGGAUGGGACGCAGGCAAAUCCGCGUCCUGUGAGUCUGAGGCGUGAUGUGGAGGUUCCGGAAACGGAACUGAAGCUGCUGACCCCACACUGUCGAGAAAAGCUUCUAGUUAGAGAAUUACCGCCCGUACCGUAAACCGACACAGGUAUGCGGGGAGAGAAUCCUAAGGUGCGCGGGAGAACCCUCGUUAAGGAACUCGGCAAAAUGUACCCGUAACUUCGGGAUAAGGGUAGCCGCUGUUGUGAAGUCUGAACAGACGGAGCAUGAGGCGGUCGCAGAGAAGAGGCCCAAGCGACUGUUUACCACAAACACAGGUGCCUGCUAAAGAGAAAUCUGACGUAUAGGUGCUGACACCUGCCCAGUGCCGGAAGGUUAAGGAAGGAUGUCCGGAGCAAUCCAAAGCAUUCGACCGAAGCCCCGGUGAACGGCGGCCGUAACUAUAACGGUCCUAAGGUAGCGAAAUUCCUUGUCGGGUAAGUUCCGACCCGCACGAAAGGUGUAACGAUUUGGGCACUGUCUCAACGAGGGACCCGGUGAAAUUGAAGUACCUGUGAAGAUGCAGGUUACCCGCGACUGGACAGAAAGACCCCAUGGAGCUUUACUGUAACCUGACAUUGGGUUCUGAUACAUCACGUACAGGAUAGGUGGGAGGCAUGGAAGCGAGGACGCUAGUCUUCGUGGAGCCGCCGUUGGGAUACCACCCUUGAUGUAUCGGAAUUCUAACCGUAGGAGUAACGAAACUCGGGACAGUGUCAGGCGGGCAGUUUGACUGGGGCGGUCGCCUCCCAAAGAGUAACGGAGGCGCCCAAAGGUUCCCUCAGCGCGGCCGGAAAUCGCGCGAAGAGUGUAAAGGCAGAAGGGAGCUUGACUGAGAGCCAAACACGGCAAUCAGGUACGAAAGUAGGGCUUAGUGAUCCGGUGGCAUCCAAGUGGAAGGGCCAUCGCUCAACGGAUAAAAGCUACCCUGGGGAUAACAGGCUAAUCUCUCCCAAGAGUCCAUAUCGACGGGGAGGUUUGGCACCUCGAUGUCGGCUCAUCACAUCCUGGGGCUGAAGUCGGUCCCAAGGGUUGGGCUGUUCGCCCAUUAAAGUGGUACGUGAGCUGGGUUCAGAACGUCGUGAGACAGUUCGGUCCCUAUCCAUCGCGGGCGCAAGAGAUUUGAAGGGGGCUGCUCCUAGUACGAGAGGACCGGAGUGGACGAACCAAUGGUGUACCAAUUAUCUCGCCAGAGGUAUAGUUGGGUAGCUACGUUCGGAAAGGAUAAACGCUGAAAGCAUCUAAGCGUGAAACCAGCCUUAAGAUGAGAUCUCUCAUAGAGCAAUCUAGUAAGACACCUUGGAGAAGACGAGGUUGAUAGGUCGGGAGUGUAAGUACAGUAAUGUAUUCAGCGGACCGAUACUAAUAUGUCGAGGGCUUGACUUU
rnacentral:rRNA from 1 species